UAUCAGAGCCUCGGUGGCUCGUUUCAGUUUUCGGUCCGGUCGGGUCUUUACCGGAAAACCGCUGGAGACGUAAAACAUUUGUAGAUCUAUGUGUGUUCAGUUAUUUUCGAUCUGGCGGGUUUGUUUAGCUGUGAAUUUAUUGUUCCCAGCGUGUUUGUUCUUUAAGAAUGGUGAAGAGACAAGCUGGUGUGGUUGAAAAUCUGGGUUAUUCACAGCAGCGAAUUUAUGCGGUUUAUGGUGAAUGCACAUGGUGUUUACGGUUAUAGAUAUCAGCGACCGAACCAGGGUUUGCAAAGAAGAAGACAUCGGGUUUGGGUUUAUAAACUUUGGCGACCAGAAGAGGUGGUCUUUAUCGGCCGAUGACGGUUGUGUCUGCCGUGUUUCCUUUUUAACUGGAAUUGGUAAACGGCCGGUCGUUAUUUUUCCGAUCAAGAGUGGUUGACGGUUUGGGUGAUGGCAGAAAAUGGUCUAUGGUAGGGAUUGGUGGGAUGAUGGUUCACGGCGGCGCAUUU
rnacentral:lncRNA from 1 species